AAAGUGAACCGUUUACGGUGCGGACGAUGGCCUAGCGACCGAACCCACCGGCGUUCAAAGUCGCGCUGGUCCGCAGUCCCGGGGCGUCUCCGUCAAGUCGGCUUCGGCCGGGCUGGGGGCGCACCCUUAGCGCACACGUUGGUACCCGAAAGAUGGUGAACUAUGCCUGGCCAGGAUGAAGUCAGGGGAAACCCUGAUGGAGGUCCGCAGCGAUUCUGACGUGCAAAUCGAUCGUCUGAGCUGGGUAUAGAGGCGAAAGACUAAUCGAACCAUCUAGUAGCUGGUUCCAUCCGAAGUUUCCCUCAGGAUAGCUGGCGCCGAUGUGUCCCGCCCGUUCGCGGGCGUACGGACGCCGGUGGGACUCCGCGCUGUACGGCGCGGUAACAACACGCUCGUAACACGGAGGAUGUCUCAUACGGUAAAGCGAAUGAUUAGAGGACAUUGGGGCCGAAACGACCUCAACCUAUUCUCAAACUAUAAAUGAGUGAGAUCGCCGGCUUUACCUGGUACACCGCGUGAACCGCGUGCGAAGCCGGCGACGGAACCCUAGGCGCUUAGUGGGCCAUUUUUGGUAAGCAGAACUGGCGCUGCGGGAUGAACCGAACGCCGAGUUAAGGCGCCGAAAUCGACGCGUAUUCAGAGACCAUGAAAGGCGUUGGUUGCUGAUGACAGCAGGACGGUGGCCAUGGAAGUCGGAAUCCGCUAAGGAGUGUGUAACAACUCACCUGCCGAAGCAACUAGCUCUGAAAAUGGAUGGCGCUGGAGCGUCGUGCCUAUACUCGGCCGUCGACGGCAUAGUGGGGCCAGUCGUCGCUCGCGGCGGCCGGUCCCGGCAAGCCUCGACGAGUAGGAUGGCGCGGCGGUGUGCGUCGAAGGGCAGGUCGCGAGACCGCCUGGAGCCGCCGUCGGUGCAGAUCUUGGUGGUAGUAGCAAAUACUCGAGAGGGGCCCUCGGGGGCUGCCGUGGAGAAGGGUUUCUUGUGAACAGCCGUUGUCCAAGAGUCAGUCGAUCCUAAGCCCGGGGAGAGAUCCUCGUACCACGGGCGAAGGCGUUUUCGAAUCGCCCUUGGGGCGAGAGGGAAUCCGGUUCGUAUUCCGGAACCCGACGCGGAACCGCUCCCUAGUGUUCGGGGCUCUUUUGUCUCGUCUGGGUAACCAGAAUGAACUCGAAGAAGCCGCCGGGGGAUCUGGGUAGAGUUCUCUUUU
rnacentral:ncRNA from 1 species